CAUGCCUUGGCAAGACUAUACGAUAAAGCCUUUAAAACUGUAUUUAUUACUAUGAAUAGUUUAUUACAUUCGUACUUGCAGCAAUAAUUUCUCAUUAAGUGCUGAACCAGUUUCUAUUUUCUUUUUCUUGAAUUUGAAUCAGUAUUAGAAGCAUAGGCUGACAAAAAGGCAGAAUAAUUAUGUGAAAAGCAAUUCCCAUUUAAAGAACCGUUGAAAUACUAUCAUGAAACAAGAGUCAGAGUGAUGCUUAUUGUUCCUAGUCUGCUAACUACACUGAGAAAUACAUGGCUGAAGAAAGGACGUCCCCAAAACUUUUGCUUGCCUCUGGACUGACAAUUCAUAGACCUCUCCAGUUUUUCAGUGAUUUUGCUCAUCCUACUCCUACACAGGUUGGUUGUUGUGUUUCCUGGCUUAGGAUAGAGGCAACAAAUGUUGUCUGACACCACACUAUACAAAAGACUACAUCUCCCACUGCUUCCAAGCUAACUGGACUCCUGGAAAUUCCAGAAAUACCCUCCUAUCCCCUUCCAUGGAUUUUCUUCUGCAGGGUAAGACUGCUCUUAAUUUACCCACUCAUUUCACUUUGAUUCUCAGCUUUUAAGAUACAUUUCUCUAUGAAAGAUUGUUGAGCUCUGUGCAUGAGGGCAGGAGAUCCGGGCAUAUUUACAGCAGAAGAUGGUAUGGCUCAUCUCUAUAAAUCUCUAUAUGAGCCAGAGGCACUGCAUGGCAGAGUGUGUGCAAGGAUAGCAUGUGAGUAAUAACUCUGUUCCCUUUCAGAGGCUCCUGCUUAGAAAGGAUCAGACCUCAAGAGGAGUCUGGAUAACCUUACAGAUCCAUUAGGAUACUGUCUUAAGGAAGAGACGGGUCUCACACUGUUCUCUGAAAGCUGCAGACAGGAAAUUUAUUGUGCUGAUGCCACUACUGAGUGCCAAAAAUGGCAAUGGACACUUGAGUUGACACAGUCUCCAAGGUGGAGCCAAGCACAGCCAGGUGCAGUGGUUGAGAAGCUCCUGUUGCCAGUCAGCUGCCUGAGGGGGCUGAACCAUCGGGCCAGUGAAGCACUCUUAUAGCUGCUGUUCAUCUUAGUGGAUGAUGCUGGGGACACAGUGCACAGUACAGUAUGGUGGAGAUGAAACAAUUAGUAUUUAACUUUGGGCAGCAAAGAGUACAGACGAGGCACAAAGUUCUGCUACCAAAUAAAAGGGAAGACAAGGAGUACUGAAAUUCAGUGACUGGCCUGAGUCUGCUUGGUGCCUUGAUGUAAUGACUUCAGUGGAAAAAAAAAAAAGUCUCAGCACUGAGUAAGGUCUAUGGGAGGCCAAAAAAGAACUUCAUAAGACCCGCAUUCUUCACAGCUGGAAGACUGUAAUCUGGAGAGUUACUGUUCAAAACCAGAUAUUCUGCAUGGCACAGAGUAGGUCACUUUGAAGCUCCCUCCACUCAUGUUACAUCAGCAGCUUGAGAAAAGUGGCUGUAUCAGAGGCUUCAAAGAGGUAAAACAUUCAGCACCUUGAGCAGGAAGAUGAGGGUGAAGAAAGGCAGAAGACUUUCAUAGAGAGCCCUUUGGUCUGCUUUGGCUGUCAAGUCUACUGCCAAAGUUAGUUUCUGGAAAGUGUUGAUGAAGACUGAAAUUAGCUGCCUUGGAAAUCAAAUCUUUUAACC
rnacentral:lncRNA from 1 species